AGGUCAAUUUCAGAGGACUGGUAGGGCUAUGAAACCAAGAGCUCUUAAGGCUAUGACCAAAGAUUGCAGUUCUCCACAAAAUCCCCCUCAUGACUCAAUAAUGCUAUUUUCCUGAGGAGACAUGCGA
ensembl:snoRNA